rnacentral:ncRNA from 1 species
UUAAAUACACUGAUGAGGAUUAGUAGAAUGUUUCGGAGCGCCUAGAGAGCUGUUGGUUGGUGGAAAACAGUGGCCAAGAUGGAUUCGAACUCACCUCGGAGUAGCUCGCUGAAAUGAUGAAGAGUAGGUAGAGCCGGAGCCUAACCGUUACAGUAGGAGGAUAUAAGGUCGCAAAGCGCGUAAACAACGACUGACGAGCUUUCUUGAUCCGUAUCUGUUGAGUGCAGGCCGUGAGGCUUGAAUGAGAGUGGUACCACGUAAGAUGUUAAGUCUUUCGUCUCUAAG